rnacentral:rRNA from 1 species
CAGCCCGCUCCCGGUAAAACGGAACGGCCCGCCAGAGGACCCCUAAACUCUGUUUCUAUAUGUAACUUCUGAGUAAAACCAUAAAUAAAUCAAAACUUUCAACAACGGAUCUCUUGGUUCUGGCAUCGAUGAAGAACGCAGCAAAAUGCGAUAAGUAAUGUGAAUUGCAGAAUUCAGUGAAUCAUCGAAUCUUUGAACGCACAUUGCGCCCGCCAGUAUUCUGGCGGGCAUGCCUGUUCGAGCGUCAUUUCAACCCUCAAGCCCCCGGGUUUGGUGUUGGGGAUCGGCGAGCCUCACGGCAAGCCGGCCCCGAAAUACAGUGGCGGUCUCGCUGCAGCUUCCAUUGCGUAGUAGUAAAACCCUCGCAACUGGUACGCGGCGCGGCCAAGCCGUUAAACCCCCAACUUCUGAAUGUUGACCUCGGAUCAGGUAGGAAUACCCGCUGAACUUAAGCAUAU